rnacentral:rRNA from 1 species
AGCGAACGCUGGCGGCAGGCCUAACACAUGCAAGUCGAGCGCCCGUAGCAAUACGGGAGCGGCAGACGGGAGAGUAACACGUGGGAACGUACCCUUCAGUUCGGAGUAACCCAGGGAAACUUGGACUAAUACCGAAUACGUCCGUAAGGAGAAAGAUUUAUCGCUGAAGGAUCGGCCCGCGUCUGAUUAGCUUGUUGGUGAGGUAACGGCUCACCAAGGCGACGAUCAGUAGCUGGCUGAGAGGAUGAUCAGCCUCACUGGGACUGAGACACGGCCCAGACUCCUACGGGAGGCAGCAGUGGGGAAUAUUGGACAAUGGGCGCAAGCCUGAUCCAGCCAUGCCGCGU